AUCAUCAAACCCAUGUAGUACUGAAUCAUCGAUCGACCGAUCCUCCAAACAUUGCUCGAGUCGAUCCCCUCCAAUUCCGCACAUCAUCCAUCGUCACCAAUGGCGACCGAGAGCAGCACGCUGCCGCUGCCCCCGCGCCUGUCGGCCUCGCCGGCUUCCUCGCCCGCCACCGUGGGCGCCUUCCUCACCAAGACCGGCGGCGCCCCGCGCGAUGCGUGCCGCUCCCCGCGGUCGCUGCUCUCGCGCAUCCUCGGCAGGGGUGGCGGCGGGUUCGGAUGCCGCUUCCGCCUCCCGCGGUACUGCUCCGGAGGCGCAUCUGGGAAGGAAUACGCCGGAGAGGAAGACGAGGCGGGUUGGACGCGCGCGCCUCAACCUCAGGUGGUCGGCGGGCACGCGGCCGAGGCUCGCGAGUCGCCGCCGCGAAGCUCUUUCGGGAAGAAGGCGGCGGCGGCGGCGAGCCUUGGGCUGGGCGCGGGGCUGGUGCUGCUGCUAUCCAAGGGCGCGGCGGAGCUGAGCAGGAUGGAGGAGCUGCGCGCCCAGAUGGAGCGCCUCGUGCUCGACGCCAAGGUGGCCGCGCGCCGGGGCGGCAGCAGCAGCAAUGACGCAGACGAAAGCGCGAGCGUCGUCAUAGAGCCGACCGUCUUCGCCGGCGCCGGGGAAGAGGACGCCUCGUCCCACUGUUCGCGCACUGCCGCCGCCGCCAUGGAUCAGAUGGAAGCGGAGCUCGAGGCGGAGCUGACGCGCCUGCAGCUCGCCUCCAACGAAGACGACGAGGAAUGCGCAACGCCUCGGCAAGAUCAUCAACUGCUCGACGCCGAGGCGGAGAGCGAAGUGGCCUCGGAGAACCAAUCCCCCGCUUGCGUCCUCCAGAACGGCAGCGCGAUCAUCGACGACGGGGCAGCAAGGUCAGAGCACGGUCGCGAGGAAGACGAAGACAACGAGGCGGAGGAGGAGGAAGAGAGGGUGGCAUGCCACACGGGCGUGCCGGCACGGGAGCUGGAGAGGAGGCUGCACGAGCUCCUGCAGUCGCGGCACGAGGAGCGGAUCGCGGAGCUGGAGUCGGAGCUGGAGCGCGCGCGGAGGAAGCUCAGGGAGAAGGAGCGCGAGGUGUCCCGGUGGCGCGACACCGCCAAGCUCGUCUCCCGCCGCGAGGACGAGUCCCGGCUCAGGUAGAAUUAGAAAAAGAAGAAGCUUAAGCUGGUACUAGUAGAAUUAUCCAACCUGCACGGACUCGUGCAAAUCGAUCCUUGGAACUUCUCCUCCUCCAUUGCAGCCACCAUCCGCCAUGUACUCGAUCUCCUGCAUGCUUGACGCAUCUCCGCGAAAGGAAGACGAAACAUUUCACCUCCGGUGACAAACCUCACCUCUCAGCACAGCUUACCUGUUAGUAUGGUUUGUGGAUGUUUCUCCUUCCCGCCUAUCAUCCGGAAAACCCAUUUAAUUCUCUUCCUUCUCAUCCCGCAUAAGGACGCCACCAAAAAUGAUGCUUUGGAAAUGGUUAUUGACACCAACAAAUAACGCGAAAGGCAUGUCGUACAGGUUCGUUCGGCAUGUGGUGUCAAAUGUGAUUACAUCCCCGAAGCAUACAUAUUUCUCGCAACAUCUACCAGAUUUCCACGUCAAGGUCUUAAUUCGGCUGUCGUCGUCUAUUUGGACAGUGUACUUGAAGUCAGGAUCAGCGUCGAGCAUCUUGCUAAACACCUCUAUCGUCUUCACAACAUCGUUGUCUGAAUUUUCACGACUAAUUUCCCCACAUAGCGUCCUUAGUGUGGAAUGUUCUCCAUGCUACCAAAAAAACUAUCAAUAAUGUUGUAUGCUUUCCCCAAACUAA